AUUGAACGCUGGCGGCAGGCCUAACAAAUGCAAGUCGAGCGAGCGGCGGACGGGUGAGUAAUGUCUGGGAAACUGCCUGAUGGAGGGGGAUAACUACUGGAGACGGUAGCUACUACCGCAUACCAUCAGAUGUGCCCAGAUUGGAUUAGAUAGUGGGUGGGGUAACGGCUCACAUAGGCUACGAUCCCUAGCUGGUCUGAGAGGAUGACCAGCCACACUGGAACUGAGGCACGGUCCAGACUCCAACGGGAGGCAGCAGUGGGGAAUAUUGCACAAGGGGCGCAAGCCUUAUGCAGCCAUGGCGCGUGUGUGAAGAAGGACUUCGAGUUGUAAAGCACUGUCAGCGGGGAGGCGUUACCCGCAGAAGAAGCACCGGCAAACUCCGUGCCAGCAGCCGCGGUAAUAC
rnacentral:rRNA from 1 species